rnacentral:rRNA from 1 species
ACUCCUACGGGAGGCAGCAGUGGGGAAUAUUGCACAAUGGGGAAACCCUGAUGCAGCCAUGCCGCGUGUGUGAAGAAGGCCUUCGGUUGUAAGCACUUCUAGUAGGAGGAAGGUAGUGUAGUUAACACCUGCAUUAUUUGUACGUUACCUUACAGAAGAAGCACCGGCUAACUCCGUGCCAGCAGCCGCGGUAAUACGGAGGGGUGCGAGCGUUAAUCGGAAUUACUGGGCGUAAAGCGCAUGCAGGCGGCCUGUUAAGUCAGAUGUGAAAGCCCGGGGGCUUAACCUCGGAAUUGCAUUUGAAACUGGCAGGCUAGAGUCUUGUUAGAGGGGGUAGGAAUUUCAGGUGUAGCGGUGAAAUGCGUAGAGAUCUGAAGGAUACCAGUGGCGAAGGCGGCCCCUGGACAAAGACUGACGCUCAGAUGCG